rnacentral:rRNA from 1 species
CCCUUAGAUGUUCUGGGCCGCACGCGUGCUACACUGAGUAAUUCAAUGGGUAAGGGAACGCUAGAGCAUUACCUAAUCUUGAAAUUUGCUCGUGAUGGGGAACGACGGUUGCAAUUUUCCGUCGUGAACGAGGAAUACCUUGUAGGCGCAUGUCAUCAUCAUGCGCCGAAUACGUCCCUGCCCUUUGUACACACCGCCCGUCGCUCCUACCGAUUGAGUGAUCCGGUGAGGCUCUGGGACCUGGACGGAAAGAGCGUUUCGCUUGUUCUGUUUGGGAAACUUGGUCGAACCUUAUCAUUUAGAGGAAGGAGAAGUCGUAACA